CCUUGAUAUUUCUCUCUGCAUUAUUUCCUGUAAAUGCUCAAUAUUGUGUAUCCUGAGAUGCCUCUGAGUGGCUGUGUGCAGAAGUUUAAUGCAGAAGCAGAAUUGGUUAAGAUGACAUGCACCAAAUUAAGUGUCAUAGGCAGUACAAAUGAAGCAGCAGCAAUUGAUUAUACCUCACUGACAGCAUAAAACAGAACAAACAUACAGUUCCUUCCAUGAAAAGCCCAUGCCAGAAUGGAAGCCCUGGACAAACACAAAAGGAGGCAUGGUCCCUGCCCCUCUCAGGCGGAACAGUGGCUCAGUCUCUACCAUGGCACCAUCUGCACUGUAAAAGGACAAAACAGAAAGACAGAGAUUAGGGAAAAGAGCCAGAUUCGGUGAGCCAGAGGCAGCUGCAGACAGAAAGUCCCUGAGGAAAAUCUCCAAUGGAUCAGUGCUGCUAGGAGCCAUGGCGGAGAGGGUGCUUCAUGGAUCCCUUACGGCUGGUGCAGAGGCACAGUGCUUCCAUUCAAAUGGUUCUGGCCUCUAGUGGCUUCCCCAGCAUCUUCUAGGGUUGAAACCAGCUCUGACUGCCUUUUCCACAAGGAAGCAAACCACCCCCCUGUGCUGAGAUGGUGUUGUCAGUGAAUCCUUGCAGAGGAAACACCCCUGUAGUCCCAUUUCACAGAUUUUUCCAUUACAGGGGAUGGUCUGGGCCAAUUUAAGCUCCACUAUAUUUACAAGCUCUUUUAUAAUAGCUAUAUAUAUAACAGAUUUUUUGCCUAGUCCAACUUUUUGCUAUUUCAGCGAGAAGCAGUAUUAAGGAUUUAUAUUUUAUUUUUUUAAUUACUAAUCUCUGUAGAGGGAAAUUAAUUAUGUUGCAUGUGGUCACACAUCAUGCCAGGAAUAACAUUUAGCGUAUAUAGUUUAACUCAGUAGACCAUUUUAAAAAAUCUUUUUCUAAAGUUUAGUUUUAGUUUGGGGACUAUGGAGUGUUUAACUUACCUUCAGGAGGAUAUUUUGUAUAAAAAUAUCAUGAAACUGGGCUACUAGAAUAUCAGCCAUGCUUGACUGAUACUAACCAUAUGAAAAAAUGUAUAAGACAUCUAAAUUUAAUAUGAGAACUACAGUUAAACCGAAACAUUUUUCUUCUAAAAUGGAUGGCCAAACUUUAAAGGGGCUGAUGUUAUUCUUCUUAAGGUCCAAAUAUAUUUUUGGAGACUGGGUGCCUACUAUUUGCAUUAAUGAAUACCUCAGGGAAAGCAGGGGGGGAAAUAAUUUUUCCUAAAUGUUAGUGUAGGUUAGAGGAAAAUUUGAAAAAUAAUUUUAAAUCAAGAUGCCUGGGAUCUUGUCUGAGUAAAGGGGUGAAGUUUUCAGGGAAGCCUCUUUGUAUGUUUCCCUGUACCUUCUCACUGCAUACCUAGGUGGGGCCAAAACCAAGCUGGCCUGAAAACUAGGAUUAUUUUCUAGCAUUUGGUGAAGAAUGUGUGCUAAAUGAGGCAGAGUAACCUAUCAAAUGUAAACACUAAAACAAAUUAAUAGUAUUUUAGACAAAAACCAGUGCUUCAGGACCAGUUGUUAUGUAUUGGAGAGUUGGUUUACCUGUAUCUAUGUUUAUACAUCUACAGAUAUAUUACAUCAUCUAACUAUCAAGAGUAUAUGCAUAAGGAGAAUUACCCCUGCUGAGGGGAUGAAGAAACUCUACAUACACAAAAUGGCUGCUAAGCAGCUAUUUCUGUCCAGAAGAGGAAGGAAAUGGCCUCAGUUCAUGUUAUGCCUCAUCUCUAUCUCCAACGUGUCCCCCUUUGCACCUGUAGCAGAAGGCAAUGCACACAGGGGAGGAGUAGGUAAUGAACAAGCCCUAUGCAAUCCAGUGUAGUUUAUGGAGCAGGCAUUCCUUCACUGGGUAGUCUGUUUUCUCCCCAAUGGCCUGAUUCAAAGUCCACCAAAUUCAGUAGAAAGAAUCCUGUUGACUUCAACGGGUUUUGGAUCAGUCUCCAAAACUGGUGCUCAAGCAGUUUGUUUCAUGGGAUAUGUAGGGAACAUCUCUGGAUGGUGGGCCCCAUUGAGUUAAGGAUAUUACAAAUAAAUGAGCUAAUUCUAUGCAGAAGGAUUUAUAGUAAGCAAAGUAUUUUCUGCUGUUAUUGGGAUCCCAGGACAUGCACAGCCUCAUUAAUAGUAUCCUGUGACGUGUUUUGUGUGUGUAGUGAGUCAUACAAAAUUCAAAUAAGAAAAACAUUUACUAUUUAUUAAUUUGCUUACAAAUUAUCCUUUCAUACACUUACAUUUUUGUUUUAAAAAUAUUUGUGUUUUAAAUCUCAUUUCAGUGGUUUACUGUAGUCUCCCAUUGGGCGUCUCAUUUUUUCCCGACACUAUUCUUCAUUAUUAGUAAUGGAGUAACAACUCCAAAGCACUGAAAAGAAGUGGAUAUGCUAUUUAUUUUUGUUCCCCCUACUUCUGCAGUCUGUUUGGAUGGCUGUGCAUUGGUUAGCUAAGAAAUAGCAGUAGGAUGUAGUUUAAUUGGCUAAGUUAUUACAUCAGUUUUCAGAGCUGUGGACAGAGUUUCAAGUAAAUGCUUGUAUUCAUCUGUGUGCAAGAGUGAAUGUGAUGCACAAAAAGAUAAAUACCUGACUACUCUAGGUCUUUAAAAUCUGAAAUAUGCAUGAUACGACACUAACCAUUAGAAGAGGGGGUUAUGUUUGAAGGGCCAGAAUCAUGUUUUGUGUUGCAAGCCCCUGAUGACAGUAAGUCUGCUUGGAGCAAGGUCAUAGAGGCACAAUCCACCUGCGUGCCACAUUCUGCCAGGGAUCUGAGCCACACAAUGCAUUCCCAAAAUUGAAUGAGGCAGGACUGGAAGUGGGAGCAGGGAGAGGGCAGGACAGAUGCUGUGAUACAAAAACCUCAACCACGGCUGCUAAUCUGCUGAGUCCACAGCCUAUCAUACGGACCAAAAUUAUCUCAUUGUUUCCUUUUACUGCUCCAUUGGUCUGUCUGCAUCCAUCUGUUGUCUCUUGUCUUAUACUUUGACGGUAAGCUCUUUGCAGCAGGAACCUUCUUUUUGUUGUGUGUUUAUACAGAAUCAAACAGAAGUAGCAGGUUGGAGGAUGAAUUCAACAGAAGCAACACCAUAGCUGGAAAUAUAUCACAGUACCAACUAAAAGAUACUACAUAGGAGUACCUUCUAUUGUCCAGGUCAUUAAAAUCCCCCAUCACUCAUAUUGGAAGAAGGCACCCAUAACCACAGUCUUGUUACACCUCCUGCUUAACCUCCAUAGUUCAGCAAUAGGGCUGGUUGAAAUUUUUUCAAUUUGAGCAGAAAAUUGGGUUUUCAACUACAUGAAAUAUUCUAUUGAAAAUUCCAACUUUUUGUAAAAAACAAACAAACCUUAACACACAAAAACAUUUCAGUUUUUCAACAAAAAGUUGAAAUUUUCCAUUGUGGGAGUGUGUAAAAACCAUUUUCCAACCAGCUCUACUCAGCAAUUAUCUUCUGUUACUUCUCAUGAAAUGAAAGCCUUUCCAAUACAAGUAUUUUAUGUUAAGGUGUAAAGGAAGAUUCUGAGAGGUGAUGAUGUUUCUGGGGCCAACAGUCCACAAUUCCAACUGACCCUUUUGCCUGGCUCUCGCUUUGAAGAGAACUUGUCCCACAGUUUAGACAGAUUUGAGGUUUAACCAAUUCACGACAACUUGGAAUCAAUUGGAAAACAACAAGGAAAACCAGUGGUGUAGAUAUACAUCACAGACACAUUUGUAAAUCAUUAGGGCCAAAUCCUGAGAAGUACUGAGCACCUGAAGUGCUACUGACACCUAGUAGGAGUUACAGGAGUCCACAGGACCGACUCUGGUGCAGACAAGGUUCUAGUAUCACCAUUGUUGCUAGCCUUCAGCUAGCUAUCUUUGCUAUCUCUGAACACAAGAUCUGAGAUUGUGUCUUUCAACUGUAUAUAAAUACAAGGUUGGGAAGGUGCUUUGUACCUUUCCUGCACUCUUACACACAAUCUUCCCCUGAGCCGACGAAAGUAUAUUAACACUAAUAUAACAUAAACAUGUCAGCAUAAAUAUCUAGGGGGCUGCUAAACCCAAGGCUGUGAGUUCAAUCCUUGAGGGGGCCGUUUAGAGAUCUGGAGCAAAAAAAAAGUCUGGGGAUUGGUCCUGCUUUGAGCAAGGGGUUGGACUAGAUCAUCUCCUGAGGUCCUUUCCAACCCUGAUAGUCUAUGUCUAUGUUAACUCAGAAAUGUCAACAGGUCAUUUGUUCUUGCUUCUCAUUUUAACUCUUGUCAUUUAAAAAAAAUAUGAAGUUAUUUACUCUCAAACAAUAAUGAAAGAGUCAAAAUAACAUCGCUUUUGGAAAGGUAACUGCCAGAAGGUAUUAUUUCAUUAAUGUAGUAUUCAUGAUUCUGAAAUUCAGGAUUAAUUCUAAAAUUUCCAUCAAAAAUUGCUAAAGGAUUCUUUCAAUAAAGUCUCUUAAGGAACUGUGUA